rnacentral:rRNA from 1 species
CGGCAUGCCUAACACAUGCAAGUCGAACGAAGUCUUCGGACUUAGUGGCGCACGGGUGCGUAACGCGUGGGAAUCUGCCCUUGGGUACGGAAUAACUCAGAGAAAUUUGUGCUAAUACCGUAUAAUGUCUUCGGACCAAAGAUUUAUCGCCCAAGGAUGAGCCCGCGUAAGAUUAGCUAGUUGGUGAGGUAAGAGCUCACCAAGGCGACGAUCUUUAGCUGGUCUGAGAGGAUGAUCAGCCACACUGGGACUGAGACACGGCCCAGACUCCUACGGGAGGCAGCAGUGGGGAAUAUUGGACAAUGGGCGAAAGCCUGAUCCAGCAAUGCCGCGUGAGUGAUGAAGGCCUUAGGGUUGUAAAGCUCUUUUACCCGGGAUGAUAAUGACAGUACCGGGA